rnacentral:rRNA from 1 species
GAUGAACGCUGGCGGCGUGCCUAAUACAUGCGAGUCGAGCGAACAGACGAGGAGCUUGCUCCUCUGACGUUAGCGGCGGACGGGUGAGUAACACGUGGAUAACCUACCUAUAAGACUGGGAUAACUUCGGGAAACCGGAGCUAAUACCGGAUAAUAUAUUGAACCGCAUGGUUCAAUAGUGAAAGACGGUUUUGCUGUCACUUAUAGAUGGAUCCGCGCCGCAUUAGCUAGUUGGUAAGGUAACGGCUUACCAAGGCAACGAUGCGUAGCCGACCUGAGAGGGUGAUCGGCCACACUGGAACUGAGACACGGUCCGGACUCCUACGGGAGGCAGCAGUAGGGAAUCUUCCGCAAUGGGCGAAAGCCUGACGGAGCAACGCCGCGUGAGUGAUGAAGGUCUUCGGAUCGUAAAACUCUGUUAUUAGGGAAGAACAAAUGUGUAAGUAACUAUGCACGUCUUGACGGUACCUAAUCAGAAAGCCACGGCUAACUACGUG